CGGAAGGUCCAGGCGUUAUCCGGAUUUAUUGGGUUUAAAGGGAGCGCAGGCGGACUCUUAAGUCAGUUGUGAAAUACGGCGGCUCAACCGUCGGACUGCAGUUGAUACUGGGAGUCUUGAGUGCACACAGGGAUGCUGGAAUUCAUGGUGUAGCGGUGAAAUGCUCAGAUAUCAUGAAGAACUCCGAUCGCGAAGGCAGGUAUCCGGGGUGCAACUGACGCUGAGGCUCGAAAGUGCGGGUAUCAAACAGGAUU
rnacentral:rRNA from 1 species